AACAUCGCCUCCUGCAAAAAUCAAUGUAUAGGAGGUCCUGCCUGCCCAGUGACAACUUGUUAAACGGCCGCGGUAUUUUGACCGUGCUAAGGUAGCGCAAUCACUUGUCUUUUAAAUGAAGACCUGUAUGAAUGGUGGAACGAGGGCUUAGCUGUCUCCCCUCUCCCGUCAAUGAAAUUGAUCUGCCCGUGCAGAAGCGGACAUACACAUACAAGACGAGAAGACCCUUUGGAGCUUAUUGGGGCGACCGCGGGGGAAAACAAAGCCCCCAUGUAAAACUAAGAGAGACAUCUCUAAGCCACAGAACAUCUGACCAAAAGAUCCGGCAUACAAGCCGAUCAACGAACCAAGUUACCCUAGGGAUAACAGCGCAAUCCCCUCCAAG
rnacentral:rRNA from 1 species